UAAAUCCAAUCAUGCCUUUGCUUGGAGCGGAGACCCGGGCCGUCUGACUGCGAUCUGAAGGUUCGGCCGAGGCUCUGAAGAGCAGCUUUCUGAUGUCUGUGGGAGGCCGGACGAGUGGAUUCUUCACAGCAAUUCUAGACUUCUGAACGCUGAAGUCUAAAGAGGAGUCCUCGAAAGCCUAAGGAUAAACAGCCCUUUAAGGUUUAGGUUCAGCUCGUUGGUAGGACGACAUUUAACUCAACAAAAUAUUCUAGAUUACCUGUAGGGUUAGAUCAAAUUUUUCUUUUGUCUUCACCUCUGGAAGGUCUUCGCUCACUUGAUCAAAUCCUCUUUUCACCCCAGGUCUGCUGACUUCCAUCAAGUCCUCAUGACUUCUCAACACUGUUUCUCCAGCGAUGGACUUCUGCAUCUGCUCAUGACGUCCAUCAGCUUCAGUGCUUUCACACUCUGGUGAACUAAUAUGUUCUUCACUGCUUACGGUUUCCACCCUACUGUCCAUUGUCUCAGCUAAUAACAUCGGUUCUUCUUCCAGGACAGAAGCAUCUGCAGACACACACCGUGCAGGUGCCUGAUGUUCUGCAUCACCAGGUUCUUCUGUUGAAAGUCCUACCAAAGGUUCUGUUUUUUCCACCAAGUUACAUUCUGUUUCCAUCAUUUCCUCCAAGACUUGAUUUGUUAUUUCUUCUACAUACUCUAAAGCGGUCUUCGCCACAUCUGUCUCUGAUUUGCCCUGCAGAUCUAGAGGUUCCUCCAGAAGCUCUGUUGAUACAUGCUCUGCAGUUCCAGUGCUUUCAGACGUGCUUGAAUUCCUCUGUGUUUCACUGAAAGUGUCCAUUGUUCCUUGAGACGAUUUGCAUUGUCCUUCUGUGAACUCAAGAAGCUCGUGUGGCUGUAAAGGGACAUUUCUGAUGACAGGUGAUCGACUUUCUAUCUCAAAGGCUUCUGCUUCCUCGUCUCCUGAACGGAUCUUUGUUUCAGUUCUGAAUUCAACAUGUUCUUUGAGCGAGAGCUCGGUUUGGUCUGUUUGGAUUAAAGUUUCAGUGUCGUGUUCAGUCUCGGCUGCUUUCUCCGAGCGCUCAGCGUCUCUUUCUGCCUGCUCUUCUGCAGGAGUUUGGGGAUUGUGUAGCUUAGCUUGGAUCUCCUCAAAACAUUGCCAAUCAGUCUCUAGUCCUCUCCUCGAUUCUCCAGAGAACUCGCAAACAGUCAGACCUGAAAAAAUGCCUUCAGUUUUGGUGGCCAGCACAGAUGAGCCAGUUCCUGAUUCUGGAAUAUUUUCUGAAGUGUGCUGUUCUGAAUCUGACAGCAGGGUGUCUUCUAAUGCAUGGACGGUUUCAUCCGCUGCUGUGGUCAUUUUCAGGACUGUUUCAUCAUUUGGUGCAUGUUUUUCUGAUUCAGACUCCGUUAGCUCAUAUUUAGUCAGGUCUUGUUCCCUUUCUGCGGUGUCUUCAUCCUGCUCAGUUCUAAGAAUCAUCUCCUCAAGCCCAUUUUUAGAGAAUUCAUUGAUUUCAUCAGAAUAUUUGUCUAUUUGUUUCAGUCUCUCAGGCUUUGAAAUGCGGUUUGCUUCAUCUGUCAGAUAUUCCAGUAAAUCCUGCACUUGUGAUUCAGUCCCCUGAUCUUCAUCACUCUCAUAAAUCCUGCACUUGUGAUUCAGUCCCCUGAUCUUCAUCACUCUCAGUUUUCCUCUGAUUCUUCUGGACAAUGAUUUGUUUCUCUGUUUCAUCAGUAGGAUGUUUUAAACCUCCAGUGUCUUCUGUCUGUCCAUGAUCCAUCAUGCUGAUCUGUUUGUCCUGUUCUACAUCUUGCACAGACUGGAUCAUUACGUCUGUGUUACCUUGAUCUUCUCUCAUCAUAUCACACUUUUCCACUUCACGAUCCUGAUCACGUUCUUCACUGUCUCCAUCUUUUUGUUCAAAGCUCCCGAUUUCUUCCAACUCUUGUGCAGUUUGACUCUCCUCCUCCGGCUCAGUUGCUCUUCCAGUUCCAAGAAUCAUCUCCUCAAUCUGGUUUUUAGAGACAUCAGCAAUUUCAUCAAAAUAUUUGUCUGUUUGUUUCAGUCUCUCAGGCUUUGAAAUGCGGUUUGCUUCAUCUGUCAGAUAUUCCAGUAAAUCCUGCACUUGUGAUUCAGUCCCCUGAUCUUCAUCACUCUCAGUUUUCCUCUGAUUCUUCUGGACAAUGAUUUGUUUCUCGGUUUCAUCAGUAGGAUGUUUUAAACCUCCAGUGUCUUCUGUCUGUCUAUGAUCCAUCAUGCUGAUCUGUUUGUCCUGUUCUACAUCUUGCACAGACUGGAUCAUUAUGUCUGUGUUAUCUGCAUCUUCUCUCUUCUCUGCACACUUCUCAACCUCACGAUUCUCAUCACAUGCUUCUUUAUUGUCACCAUCAUUUUGUUCAGUUUUUCCAGUGACCUCCAGCUCUUGUGCGGUUUCUCUCUCCUCAGUCUCACAGUUUGCAUGUUCUUCUUCGGCUGGAACCUCAUCAGAUGAAACUUUCUCAGCUGUGCGUCCUUUGCUGUCUGUAUCUGUCCCAGUGGACCACGCUGCACAAUGGUAAGUUUGUUUUUUUGUGGUAUGAACAUUGAGUUUAUCAUUAUUGUCGAUCUUAACCACACCAGUGUUUUCCCACUGUACAGAAGCAGCCACUCUGACUUUAGAAGGGGAACACUUGACCUCUGCUCUGUCAUUUUCAUUGUCGCUUUUAUUUGUCUUUCCUUCUCGGUCAAUCUUGUUUACUGCACUUUUCAAGUCAAUUUCAUCUGUUCUGGCAUGAACACUUUGGUUUCCUUCAUCUGUGACUUCCGGUCUGAGAUAUCUGGUAACAGCCCCAGACAGAUAACCCUGUAUGAGCAAAACAUUGAGCACAUGAGUCAGUGAAGGAACCAUCUGCCUCAUCAAGACACAGAGAUCAUUAGUGUCCCUG
ensembl:lncRNA